rnacentral:rRNA from 1 species
UACAGAGGUCUCAACCGUUGUUCGGAUUCAUUGGGCGUAAAGGGUGCGUAGGCGGCGGGGUAAGUCAGGUGUGAAAUCUCGGGGCUCAACCCCGAAACUGCACUUGAUACUGCCUUGCUUGAGUACUGGAGAGGAGACUGGAAUUUACGGUGUAGCAGUGAAAUGCGUAGAUAUCGUAAGGAAGACCAGUGGCGAAGGCGAGUCUCUGGACAGUUACUGACGCUGAGGCACGAAGGCCAGGGGAGCAAACGGG